UGCAGUGUAGUUUAAUUAGAAUACUUGCUUUACACGUAAGGGGUCCUUUUGGGGCUGUAA
rnacentral:tRNA from 1 species